AAUAGAUACCCAGGUAGUCCACGCCGUAAACGAUGAGUGCUAAGUGUUAGGGGGUUUCCGCCCCUUAGUGCUGCAGCUAACGCAUUAAGCACUCCGCCUGGGGAGUACGGUCGCAAGACUGAAACUCAAAGGAAUUGACGGGGGCCCGCACAAGCGGUGGAGCAUGUGGUUUAAUUCGAAGCAACGCGAAGAACCUUACCAGGCCUUGACAUCCCAUUGACCGCUAUGGAGACAUAGCUUUCCCCUCGGGGACAGUGGUGACAGGUGGUGCAUGGUUGUCGUCAGCUCGUGUCGUGAGAUGUUGGGUUAAGUCCCGCAACGAGCGCAACCCUUGUUCUUAGUUGCCAUCAUUUAGUUGGGCACUCUAAGGAGACUGCCGGUGACAAACCGGAGGAAGGUGGGGAUGACGUCAAAUCAUCAUGCCCCUUAUGACCUGGGCUACACACGUGCUACAAUGGACGGUACAAACGGUUGCCAACCCGCGAGGGGAGCUAAUCCGAUAAAACCGUUCUCAGUUCGGACUGUAGGCUGCAACUCGCCUAC
rnacentral:rRNA from 1 species